rnacentral:rRNA from 1 species
AUGAACGCUAGCGGCAGGCUUAAUACAUGCAAGUUGAGGGGCAGCAUGAUAUACGCGAGUAUAUUGAUGGCGACCGGCGGACGGGUGAGUAAUAGGUAGGAGACCUACCUCAUACAGGGGGAUAGCAUAGAGAAAUCUGUGGUAAUACCCCAUGAGGUUAUAUGAAUAGAGGCAUAUAAUCAAAGCAUAAGCGAUUAUGCGGUAUGAGAGGGGCCUACUGACCAUUAGCUAGUUGGUGAGGUAAGGGCUCACCAAGGCGAAGAUGGUUAGGGGUUUUGAGAGAGAGACCCCCCACAUUGGAACUGAGAGACGGUCCAGACUCCUACGAGAGGCAGCAGUAGGGAAUAUUGGGCAAUGGGCGAAAGCCUGACCCAGCCAUGCCGCGUGAAGGAAGACGGCCUUAUGGGUUGUAAACUUCUUUACUACGCGAAUAGAGGUUAGUACGAGAUACUAAUAGGAAGGUAGUGUAGUAAAAAGCACCGGCUAACUCCGUG